CCCCCUCUUGUGGUGGAUGGAGAGGUGGACACGGGAGAUGAAGACUACUGGGAAGCCAAAUAUGAGGUGCCCGAGAAUCUUCCUUUCCCUGACGGUAAAGAGGUCGUCCCCACAGAGAAAGAUGACUUGAGCUACGUUGUCACAGAGGAUUCUAUUACACCACCACCUACCUAUGAAAGCCCAUGGUACGAGGAGUAUGACUAUGGAUAUAGUGGUGGAGAGACAAAAAAACAGGAGGAGGAGGAGGAGAGGGAAAGACAAAGGAAAGAAAAGGAGAGAGAGGACAGAGGUAUGAUCUGAUAUGUGGU